rnacentral:rRNA from 1 species
UACGUAGGGUGCAAGCGUUAAUCGGAAUUACUGGGCGUAAAGCGUGCGCAGGCGGUUCGUUAAGACAGAUGUGAAAUCCCCGGGCUCAACCUGGGAAUUGCAUCUGUGACUGCAUAGCUAGAGUACGGUAGAGGGGGAUGGAAUUCCUGGUGUAGCAGUGAAAUGCGUAGAUAUCAGGAGGAAUACCGAUGGCGAAGGCAGGUCUCUGGGCUGACACUGACGCUCAUGCGCGAAAGCGUGGGGAGCAAACAGG